rnacentral:lncRNA from 1 species
UCCCUGUGUCCAGCAUUCCCGGUGCCCGACAUUCCCAGGAGCAUCCCGGUAUUCUUCCUUCCCGGUAUUCCCGAUGUUCCCGGUAUUCCCGGUAUUCCCGGUGUUCCCGGGAGCAUCCCGGUGUUCCCGGUAUUCCCGGUGUUCCCGGUAUUCCCCGUUCCCGGUAUUGCCGGUAUUGCCGGUAUUCCCGAUAUUCCCGGUAUUCCCGGUGUUCCCUGUUCCCGGUAUUCCCGGUGUUCCCCGUUCCCGGUGUUCCCGGUAUUCCCGGUGUUCCCGAUAUUCCCGGUAUUCCCGAUGUUCCCGGUGUUCCCUCUAUUCCCUGUUCCCGGUGUUCCCGGUGUUCCCGGUGUUCCCUCUAUUCCCUGUUCCCGGUGUUCCCGGUGUUCCCGGUGUUCCCGGUGUUCCCUCUAUUCCCUGUUCCCGGUAUUCCCGAUGUUCCCGGUGUUCCCUCUAUUCCCUGUUCCCGAUGUUCCCGGUGUUCCCGGUGUUCCCGGUGUUCCCGGUAUUCCCGGUGUUCCCGGUAUUCCCGGUAUUCCCGGUGUUCCCGGUAUUCCCUGUUCCCGGUAUUGCCGGUAUUGCCGGUAUUCCCGAUGUUCCCGGUGUUCCCGGUGUUCCCUCUAUUCCCCGUUCCCGGUGUUCCCGGUGUUCCCGAUGUUCCCGGUGUUCCCGGUAUUCCCGCUAUUCCCGGGAACAGCCCGGCAUUAGGUGGCGGUGUCGGCCAAGCAGCGCAGCCGGAGCCGCGGCCCCAGGACCAGGUCAGUGUAAAUUCCCAAAUUAACGCGAAAUUCCAUCAAAUCUCCCAACAAACCCCGAGCGGCCCCGCGGAGCCGUCCAAUAACCGGGAAUGGCCGGGAAGCUCCAGGGAUGUGAGCAGCAGCAGAUCUGCCCGUCCUGGAAGGUUAUCCCUGAUUUUCCCUCCUCCCCACAUCCAGAUUUCCUGGAAUUUGUUGCCACCGAGCGGAUUUGGGGGCUGGAAUGUGGGACCCAUCCCCAGGACAGAGCCUUCUGCAUCAGCAGAU